CACAUUUCUGUCUUUUCAUUUGAAUUAAAGUCACUGCCCUAAGUAUCAUGUCCUUUUGCCCUUGUCUGUUCCGUUUGCCGUAAGGUGACCCAGUCACCCGAUCUACACCCCCCAGUUCAACUCGAUCUAUGAAUUGCCCUGCAUAUAUAAACUUGCACUCUCUUCCAUUACCUGCCUUUUAUUACCAAAUCUUGUUUCCUUCAUCUUUCAAUCUGUUUGGAAAAAGAAAACUAUUACUUAAUGUACUCCAUUGUAAAGGAACUUACCCACUCUAUUUUUGAUAAUUUACAAAGUUUUGAAGAAAUGAAAUUGUUGAAAUUGAAAACUCUGGAUAAUCUCCGCCGUUGCGAGGAUGUUGACAAGUAAUUGUCGUUUGGGCAAUUUUCUUUUUUUAAUUGUCGUUCCAGAAGGACUUUAGCAAGACAACCCUUCUAACGUCAUGCCUUAAGUAAGCAAUUUAAAGCAUGAUUAAUUUUAUAUGUAAAUUAUACUUUUCUUUUUCCUUUUAAAUUCUCUAGUUAUAUGUCUGCGUUCAAUUUUUUCAUAUGACAUGAAUGUCAAGCUGCAACAUGAAUUAAAUUAUAUAUUAUUUUAAUUAUAUGAUCAAA